rnacentral:rRNA from 1 species
GACGAACGCUGGCGGCGUGCUUAACACAUGCAAGUCGAACGAUGAAGCCGGAGCUUGCUCUGGUGAAUUAGUGGCGAACGGGUGAGUAACACAUGAGUAACCUGCCCUUGACUCUGGGAUAACUGCGGGAAACUGUAGCUAAUACCGGAUACGACCCUCGGAGGCAUCUCCUGGGGUUGGAAAGAAUUUCGGUCAAGGAUGGACUCGCGGCCUAUCAGCUAGUUGGGGAGGUAAAGGCUCACCAAGGCGACGACGGGUAGCCGGCCUGAGAGGGUGACCGGCCACACUGGGACUGAGACACGGCCCAGACUCCUACGGGAGGCAGCAGUGGGGAAUAUUGCACAAUGGGCGCAAGCCUGAUGCAGCAACGCCGCGUGAGGGAUGACGGCCUUCGGGUUGUAAACCUCUUUUAGCAGGGAAGAAGCGAAAGUGACGGUACCUGCAGAAAAAGCACCGGCUAACUACGUGCCAGCCGCCGCCGUAA